AUGAAAGCUCACCAGAAAGACUACUAUCUCCCACCAAUCCAGUUCUCAAGGUCCAGAGGCCGAGGGACGUCCAGGACAGGGGCCGGAGCAGACUCCACGGGCACUGCAGAGGUGCGGCUUCUGGAGGAGCCAUCUUCCUCCUCCCCUCACAGUGGGCUCCUCAGCUUCCACGACGCCAUCGCCAUGGCUCUGCAGGCUGGCCUUCUGGAUAAAGCUACAGGUGCAAAACAAACCAUUUUUUAUACAGAAGAAAUACAAGACUGA
rnacentral:lncRNA from 1 species